AGAGGUCUCAAGCGUUGUUCGGAUUCAUUGGGCGUAAAGGGUGCGUAGGCGGCGCGGUAAGGCGGGUGUGAAAUCUUGGAGCUUAACUCCGAAACUGCAUUCGAUACUGCCGUGCUUGAGGACUGGAGAGGAGACUGGAAUUUACGGUGUAGCGGUGAAAUGCGUAGAUAUCGUAAGGAAGACCAGUGGCGAAGGCGGGUCUCUGGACAGUUCCUGACGCUGAGGCACGAAGGUCAGGGGAGCAAACGGG
rnacentral:rRNA from 1 species